rnacentral:rRNA from 1 species
GGUUCCUACGGGAGGCAGCAGUGGGGAAUAUUGGACAAUGGGGGGAACCCUGAUCCAGCGACGCCGCGUGAGUGAAGAAGUAUUUCGGUAUGUAAAGCUCUAUCAGCAGGGAAGAAAGAAAUGACGGUACCUGACUAAGAAGCCCCGGCUAACUACGUGCCAGCAGCCGCGGUAAUACGUAGGGGGCAAGCGUUAUCCGGAUUUACUGGGUGUAAAGGGAGCGUAGACGGCGAUGCAAGUCUGAAGUGAAAGGCGGGGGCCCAACUGCGGGACUGCUUUGGAAACUGCCCGGCUAGAGUGCUGGG